UACUACGGCCGUGCCACCCUGAACAAGCCCGAUCCCAUCUGAUCUUGAAAGCUAAGCAGGGUCGGGCCUGGUUAGUACUUGGAUGGGAGAUCACCUAAGAAGACCAGGUGCUGUAAAAA
rnacentral:rRNA from 1 species